AAUAGAUACCCUGGUAGUCCACGCCGUAAACGAUGAGUGCUAAGUGUUAGAGGGUUUCCGCCCUUUAGUGCUGCAGCUAACGCAUUAAGCACUCCGCCUGGGGAGUACGGCCGCAAGGCUGAAACUCAAAGGAAUUGACGGGGGGCCCGCACAAGCGGUGGAGCAUGUGGUUUAAUUCGAAGCAACGCGAAGAACCUUACCAGGUCUUGACAUCCUCUGCCAACCCUAGAGAUAGGGCGUUCCCCUUCGGGGGACAGAGUGACAGGUGGUGCAUGGUUGUCGUCAGCUCGUGUCGUGAGAUGUUGGGUUAAGUCCCGCAACGAGCGCAACCCUUGAUCUUAGUUGCCAGCAUUCAGUUGGGCACUCUAAGGUGACUGGCCGGUGACAAACCGGAGGAAGGUGGGGAUGACGUCAAAUCAUCAUGCCCCUUAUGACCUGGGCUACACACGUGCUACAAUGGAUGGUACAAAGAGCAGCGAACCCGCGAGGGUAAGCCAAUCUACAUAAACGCCUAUUCUCAGUUCGGAUUGUAGGC
rnacentral:rRNA from 1 species